AUGUUAACAUCAAAGAUGUUUGCUGGGAUGUCAGCCAAACAAAAAAUUCUUUAUAUUGGAUUUCGAUACCAAAAAAAUUGCUGAUUCUAUUGAUUAAUUCAUUGACCGCUGUCAGUCAACAUUGUCCGCCUGCAACAACAAACAGUGAACCAUCAUGAUUUCUAACGCAAGGGUCAACAAUCCGUAUCCACCAGUACCGCAGAUCAACAGCAAACACAGCAAAGCGGGUAACCUGACACCUCAUGACGACAACAAUAACAAAAUCGUCAAUCAGCAAGAAACCAAUAGCAGCACCAGCAACAGCACCAACCAACAGCAGCAGCGCCAACAGCAGCACCAACCAACUUCAACCUAAGUUUAAGAUUUUUGAUUCAGUUCUGUAAAAGCACUCAAAUUAAUAAAAAUAGAAAUGUAGUAACUGUUAACUGGCGCCCAACAAUCCAUCAACGCACCCGGAGGCUGUGACCAAGGACCAAAAAAACACCCUAGAAGACCACAGAGGCUGUAGCUACAACUACCGGCUCAACACACGUCAACAAGUAAGCGGACGAUUCUCCAAGUAGAUUUAACGAAAGGACAACGAAAUCGCCUCCAUGGACGUAUGGAAAAUCUUUAUAGGGAUACAUUUGUAAGUAGGCAGUGAACACAAAAAAAAAUUUGUGAAUCGUAGAUUUAAUAAUUAAGAAGAAUUUAAGUACAAAA